rnacentral:rRNA from 1 species
GGGGAAUAUUGGGCAAUGGGCGAAAGCCUGACCCAGCAACGCCGCGUGAGUGAAGAAGGCUUUCGGGUUGUAAAGCUCUGUCCUAGGGGACGAAGGAAGUGACGGUACCCAAGGAGGAAGCCCCGGCUAACUACGUGCCAGCAGCCGCGGUAAUACGUAGGGGGCGAGCGUUGUCCGGAAUGACUGGGCGUAAAGGGCGUGUAGGCGGCCGAUUAAGUGUGGAGUGAAAGUCCUGCUUUUAAGGUGGGAAUUGCUUUGCAGACUGGUUGGCUUGAGUGCGGAAGAGGUAAGUGGAAUUCCCAGUGUAGCGGUGAAAUGCGUAGAGAUUGGGAGGAACACCAGUGGCGAAGGCGACUUACUGGGCCGUAACUGACGCUGAGGCGCGAAAGCGUGGGGAGCGAACAGGAUUAGAUACCCUGGUAGUCCACGCUGUAAACGAUGAAUGCUAGGUGUUGCGGGUAUCGACCCCUGCAAUGCCGGAGUAAAACGCAAUAAGCAUUCCGCCUGGGGAGUACGGCCGCAAGGUUGAAACUCAAAGGAAUUGACGGGGGCCCGCACAAGCAGCGGAGCAUGUUGUUUAAUUCGAAGCAACGCGAAGAACCUUACCAUGUCUUGACAUCGAGGAAAAGGUCUAGAGAUAGGCUGUGCCUUCGGGCAUCCGAAGACAGGUGGUGCAUGGUUGUCGUCAGCUCGUGUCGUGAGAUGUUGGGUUAAGUCCCGCAACGAGCGCAACCCUUAUGGUCAGUUACUAACGGGUAAAGCCGAGGACUCUGACAAGACUGCCGGGGACAACUCGGAGGAAGGUGGGGACGACGUCAAAUCAUCAUGCCCCUUAUGACAUGGGCUACAAACGUGCUACAAUGGCGGCUACAAAGAGGAGCGAGACUGUAAAGUUGAGCGGAUCUCAAAAAAGCCGUCUCAGUUCGGAUUGUGGGCUGCAACCCGCCCACAUGAAGUUGGAGUUGCUAGUAAUCGCGGAUCAGCAUGCCGCGGUGAAUACGUUCCCG